CUCCAGAGUGGAUCCUGAGUACGGCGGAACACGUGAAAUUCCGUCGGAAUCCGGGAGGACCAUCUCCCAAGGCUAAAUACUCCCUAGUGACCGAUAGUGAACCAGUACCGUGAGGGAAAGGUGAAAAGCACCCCGGAAGGGGAGUGAAAUAGAUCCUGAAACCGUGUGCCUACAAGUAGUCAGAGCCCGUUAAAGGGUGAUGGCGUGCCUUUUGUAGAAUGAACCGGCGAGUUACGAUCCCGUGCAAGGUUAAGCAGAAGAUGCGGAGCCGCAGCGAAAGCGAGUCUGAAUAGGGCGCAUGAGUACGUGGUCGUAGACCCGAAACCAGGUGAUCUACCCAUGUCCAGGGUGAAGUUCAGGUAACACUGAAUGGAGGCCCGAACCCACGCACGUUGAAAAGUGCGGGGAUGAGGUGUGGGUAGGGGUGAAAUGCCAAUCGAACCUGGAGAUAGCUGGUUCUCUCCGAAAUAGCUUUAGGGCUAGCCUCAAGGUAAGAGUCUCGGAGGUAGAGCACUGAUUGGACUAGGGGCCCCUACCGGGUUACCGAAUUCAGUCAAACUCCGAAUGCCGAUGACUUAUCCUUGGGAGUCAGACUGCGAGUGAUAAGAUCCGUAGUCGAAAGGGAAACAGCCCAGACCGCCAGCUAAGGUCCCAAAGUAUACGUUAAGUGGAAAAGGAUGUGGAGUUGCUUAGACAACCAGGAUGUUGGCUUAGAAGCAGCCACCAUUUAAAGAGUGCGUAAUAGCUCACUGGUCGAGUGACUCUGCGCCGAAAAUGUACCGGGGCUAAACGUAUCACCGAAGCUGCGGACUGUUCUAACGAACAGUGGUAGGAGAGCGUUCUAAGUGCUGUGAAGUCAGACCGGAAGGACUGGUGGAGCGCUUAGAAG
rnacentral:rRNA from 1 species